rnacentral:rRNA from 1 species
GAUGAACGCUGACAGAAUGCUUAACACAUCAGCAAUUGAUUGGUGGCGGACGGGUGAGUAACGCGUAAAGAACUUCCCUCACAUCUAGUGCCAACAUUUGGAAACGAAUGCUUAUACCUAAUACUGUGCGAGAGCUUUGCGUCCCAUUAGCUAGUUGGAGAGGUAACGGCCCACCAAGGCGAUGAUGGGUAGCCGGCCUGCGAGGGUGAUCGGCCAAAAGGGGACUGAGAAACGGCCCUUACUCCUACGGGAGGCAGCAGGGGGGAAUAUUGGACAAUGGGCCAAAGUCUGAUCCAGAAAUUCUGUGUGCACGAUUAAGGUUUCGGAAUGUAAAGUGCUGUCAGUUGGGAAGCGGUACCAACAGAAGAAGUGACGGCUAAAUACGUGCCAGCAGCCGCGGUAAUAC